rnacentral:lncRNA from 1 species
UGGGGAGAGGAAACCAGAUGAGUUGUGAUAGCUGCAUUAUGGGAGAUGCACGGUUUCGUGCUUUUUUAAGGAUGUAAGAAGUUGUAUUAGGUGGUGCUUCACGGGUGUUACAACAGGGGUGAAAGGGAAGACCGACAUUGUUGUGGGAUGAUCUGGAGAAGUGCAUAGAAAGUUGGGAUGGGCUGUGGGUAAUGAGUGGUGACUUUAAAAUGGUGCUCCAUCGCAGUGAACGUUCGGGGGAGCGUUACUCAGGCAAAUGAGCUCAGGAGCACUCAAAGACAAAUUCCUUCAGACUUAUGUUAUAGCACGACAUAAAGACAUCACUAUAUGUGAGUCAUGUGGAGAUAUUGGAGGGAAUAGGGAAUGAAUUGUGAAUGUGGUGAAGAAUUUUAAUGAUUGGAAAGUUGAAGAAUAUGCAUCUCUCUUAAAGAUACUUUCCCUUAUCUCUUUAGAGGGGAGCAAUGAUCAACUAUUAUGGAACCUCAAAGAUAAUGGGUCAUUUACAGUCAAAUAUUAUAAUUACUUGGUUAAGCGUUUCAGGAAAUAUGGAAGGUGGAUGCCCCUCCUAGAGUUACUUUUUUUUUUUUUUUUUUUUUUCGUGGGAUGCUGGGCGAGGAUGUAUCUUGAUUAUUGACAAAUUGAUGAAAACGGAAAAAAUUAUAGUGAAUGACUGUUUUUUGUGCAAGAUGGCGGCAUAAUCUUGUAAUUACAUUCUGCUCUAGUGCUUGUUCAUGUAUAAGUUAUGGACUAUGGUUUAUGGGUAAUUGGGUAUUAGUUGUACAAAUAUCUGGCUUGGUAAGGGAUGAGAUCUGGGUCUGGAAGAGCUUUAAUAAUGAGAAAAAAUAUCUGGGUGUCAUUCCUUUUACUAUUUUAUGGGUGGUGUGGAAAAAGAGAAAUAAGAGAGUUUUUGAGGGGGUGGAGGAAGAUUUUGUUAAUAUUAGAGAUAGA